rnacentral:lncRNA from 1 species
UGCAAUUUCAGGUAGCUUUUCUGACUCUUAAAGAGAUCUCAAGUAUACCUUCAGAGAAAUGCCAGCAAAAACUGUAGUCAUUUGGGAAGGAAUAAGCCUGGAAGAAAAAGAUACAACGAACUAGCACAACGAGGGGUUUGAAAAGUUCAUGACAGCUCACAGCUGAUGAUGGUGGCAAUCUUAAGGAUACAGAAAGCUCAUUCCUCAUGCAGGGAAGAAGAAAAUAUUCUAAAGAAGAGAUAAGCAUAUUCCAUGAAAUCAAAAAAGGGUAAAACGCUGGAGGAGAAGUCAGUAGCAAGCAGCUAAGACAACAUGGUACAUGUGGGUCCAAUGUGAAAAACACUAAGUGGGAUGGUUAAUUGUAUGUGUUCCCUUGGCUGGACCAUGAUGACAGAUAUUUGGUCAAACAUUAUUCUGGAUGUUUCUGUAAAGGAGUUUUUGGGCUAGAAGCCCACCAACUGCUAACAACCAGCUGGAGGGUAAGUCAAAAGCUAUGAGAGCCCAGAAGGAGAACAAUUAUUUAGACCUGGAGGGGCCAGUUGGGAAAGUCUUUGAAGGGUCUUCAGAAAAUGGACCAAAAGAAAAGAGGAAAAGUCAUUCUACUGAGAGGUGUUUGUGUAAUCAAAGCAACCGAGGCCUAAGAACUCACAAAAGAUUAGAAAAGGGUAAAGGAUGCCUGGAAAGCCGGACUAGGAAAAGGCUGUGAAGGGCCCUGAAGGUCACAUGUCACAUGUUGCCUGCAGCAUGCAGAAUCAAAACAUGAUAAAUCAUGUCUUGAAUCAUGACAUAUGAAGCAUGACACACGAAUCAUGACAUGUGACAUGUUGAAUGUCACAUGUCACAUGCCGUAGGCAGCCAUCAAGAGUAUUUGAAAGGAAAGUGUAUAAUCAGGCCUGUGCUUUAGUAAGACAAUUUGUAUAGUGUUCAGUGUGGAUUAAAAUGGAGAACACAGGUAUCAGUUUGACAUCGACAGUACAGGAAACCAUUUGGGUUUCUUGUACACCAAAAUAUUAAAACAUACACGCAAACACACCAACACAUUAAAAUCUUGAGAGAGAGGGCCAAAAGUUCUUUGUCGCUGGACUAAAAGUGGAAAUAAAUGUUUACAACCUCUAAGGUGGAUUAAGCUAAGAAUUUGGAGUUGUUGGCAAAACUGCCACAUAAAAUUUCAGACAUGCAAAGAAAUGCAAUCGUAGACUUAUGCACAUACUUCCACCAGAGAAGGGAAUCUGGGCAGAGUGUUCAAAGCUUAAGAAAUUCCUUUGCUCUUCACCAAGAAGAGCCAACAGAGUUUUCGUUGAAUCAACUCUUAUAUUCCCUUAAAAAGAAGUUGAUAGUGUUGUGGAAAACUCACCCAUUGAAGUGACAACAAAAACAGCAACCCAGUAUGAGUUAACUGGUAUUAUGUUAAAGGGACAAGUAACUGCACUUUUGACACACAUCCUCUAAAAGGUAGGGUGGGAGUGUUUCAAAGAACCAAGUCUGAGUAAUAGAAAAGCAUAUACCACUUCCCCAUAUACACGUUCGAGCAUGGGGGAGCAGGAAGCUGGGUAAUUGAAUGCAGUUGUGCACACUGGCAAUUUUCCCGCCACAUACCAUUUCUUCGGUGUCUCUCCCAAAAUUCUCCUCCUAAGUGGCACAUCCCUUUAUUGAUCAUCUUUCCCCAUACUGAUCAUCCUCAGCAAUCAUGUGAGUUAUUAGUCUAAGUAUUUGUUUUUCUCAAAUAUGGUCUUUUAACUACUCCCUAAAUAUUUUAUAUAUACAUAGUUUGUUUUCCCAAUUUAACUACAAGCAUUUAAAAAAUGGGAAUAUUUGUCUAUAUUUCUGUAAUUUUUCAUCAUGCCUUAUAUGGUAUAUAAAGAUCAACAGCAAUAAAACAACAACAGUAAUAAUAGCUAAGACCUUUUGACCUCCCCGGAAGCUGAGCAGAUGCCAGCACCAUAAUUCCAGUACAGCCUAUCAAACUGCCUAGGUGCUCUCUGAUGGUGGGAAUCCACUAAUAAGAGGUGUCCAGUUCUUCUAGCAAACUUGUCAGUGCUCAUGUCUUCCAUGGGUUGUGCCCUGAAUCAAUGCAUUUAUUAAUUCUUUCAAAAUGCAAAAUAAAAAUUAUGUGUUGAGCCUCUAC